UACGGAGGAUCCAAGCGUUAUCCGGAUUUAUUGGGUUUAAAGGGAGCGUAGGCGGCUUAUUAAGUCAGGGGUGAAAGACGGUGGCUCAACCAUCGCAGUGCCUUUGAUACUGAUGAGCUUGAAUAUAGUUGAGGUAGGCGGAAUGUGACAAGUAGCGGUGAAAUGCAUAGAUAUGUCACAGAACACCAAUUGCGAAGGCAGCUUACUAAGCUAUUAUUGACGCUGAGGCUCGAAAGCGUGGGGAUCAAAC
rnacentral:rRNA from 1 species